UAGGACCAUGCAGAGGGAACCUACUCAUGCUAGUUGCUAUGGUAACAAAUAGAAACAAUCACAUGCCUUACUUUCAGGAAGGGCCAGCCAUGGACGAUGCCCUUCUCUGAAUCGCUUUCUAUUUACUUACUCAAGACUGCUGAAGUAUCAGUUUACCCAGAGAGUCAAAGUAAAUUUCCCCUAGCGACACAGUAGGGGUCUCUGCAAAUCUGCACUUUCGAGCUCAAGAAAUAACACACUUGAACUGAUGGUGCUGCUGGGCUGCCAAGGUCACCCGGGCCAUGAACUUGACUGGGCUUGCCUGGAAGGGAAUCCGCGUGCCUGUAACCAUGAGAAAUCUUGAUGCCCAGCACAAAGAGCAUUACGACAGAAGAGAAGACUUGGCUAACGUCCUCCAGUGGUUUUAGAUAAUUUUCCUUUGUUAGUCAACAAACCAGUCUGGGGGGAGGGGAGAGGUUGAGGAUGUGAAAAGUUUCACCCCGUA